rnacentral:rRNA from 1 species
GACGAGAAGACCCUAGAAGCUUGUUAUUUGUUUUGUUGGGGCGACAGAAUUGCAUUAAACCAAUUUUAUAGAUGUGACGUAUAGCAGGAAAAAUAAGCUACUCUAGGGAUAACAGCAUAAUAAAAUUUGUUUGUGACCUCGAUGUUGGACUA